rnacentral:rRNA from 1 species
AUGCAAGGUCAGUCAAAACGUUCUCGCAAGAAGAAAUUGAUGACACCAACAGUUCUUGAUACCCUAAAAAAUAAAACUAAAAGGGCCUAUAACAAGAGGAGGAAUGCCAUUGCGAACAACCUAUGCACAACGGUCACCGCAACUGACAGCAUAACAGAAAGCGCAAAUGUUAAGCAAGAUCAAGUAAAUGAGGGAUGGCCAUUAACAUCUAGUGGUGCACCAGAUACCUUCCCAUACGGAGUGGAGACCAUAUCUUUCGAUUUGACACAAUACAACAAUGCGCCAAGCUUCCAUUGGCCUGAAAAGCAGCAGAUCUCAGCUUCAGUGAAAGGAGGCAACACUUAG